GACGAACGCUGGCGGCGUGCUUAACACAUGCAAGCCGAACGGAAAGGCCCUGCUUUUGUGGGGUACUCGAGUGGCGAACGGGUGAGUAACACGUGAGUAACCUGCCCUUGACUUUGGGAUAACUUCAGGAAACUGGGGCUAAUACCGGAUAGGAGCUCCUGCUGCAUGGUGGGGGUUGGAAAGUUUCGGCGGUUGGGGAUGGACUCGCGGCUUAUCAGCUUGUUGGUGGGGUAGUGGCUUACCAAGGCUUUGACGGGUAGCCGGCCUGAGAGGGUGACCGGCCACAUUGGGACUGAGAUACGGCCCAGACUCCUACGGGAGGCAGCAGUGGGGAAUAUUGCACAAUGGGCGGAAGCCUGAUGCAGCAACGCCGCGUGCGGGAUGACGGCCUUCGGGUUGUAAACCGCUUUCGCCUGUGACGAAGCGUGAGUGACGGUAAUGGGUAAAGAAGCACCGGCUAACUACGUG
rnacentral:rRNA from 1 species